rnacentral:rRNA from 1 species
AGGACGAACGCUGGCGGCACGCUUAACACAUGCAAGUCGAACGAAAAUGUUUCACCGUAGCUUGCUACACCGAGACAUUUUAGUGGCGGACGGGUGAGUAACGCGGUGGGUAACCUGCCAUAUACGAGGGGGAUAACACUUAGAAAUAGGUGCUAAUACCGCAUAAGCGCACGGUUCUGCAUGGAACAGUGUAGAAAAACUCCGGUGGUAUAUGAUGGACCCGCGUCUGAUUAGCUAGUUGGUGAGGUAACGGCCCACCAAGGCGACGAUCAGUAGCCGGCCUGAGAGGGUGAACGGCCACAUUGGGACUGAGACACGGCCCAAACUCCUACGGGAGGCAGCAGGUGGGGAAUAUUGCACAAUGGGGGAAACCCUGAUGCAGCGACGCCGCGUGAGUGAAGAAGUAUUUCGGUAUGUAAAGCUCUAUCAGCAAGGAAGAAAAUGACGGUACUUGACUAAGAAGCCCCGGCUAACUACGUG